rnacentral:rRNA from 1 species
GAUGAACGCUGGCGGCGUGCCUAAUACAUGCAAGUCGAGCGAACGGACGAGAAGCUUGCUUCUCUGAUGUUAGCGGCGGACGGGUGAGUAACACGUGGAUAACCUACCUAUAAGACUGGGAUAACUUCGGGAAACCGGAGCUAAUACCGGAUGAUAUUUUGAACCGCAUGGUUCAAAAGUGAAAGACGGUCUUGCUGUCACUUAUAGAUGGAUCCGCGCUGCAUUAGCUAGUUGGUAAGGUAACGGCUUACCAAGGCAACGAUGCAUAGCCGACCUGAGAGGGUGAUCGGCCACACUGGAACUGAGACACGGUCCAGACUCCUACGGGAGGCAGCAGUAGGGAAUCUUCCGCAAUGGGCGAAAGCCUGACGGAGCAACGCCGCGUGAGUGAUGAAGGUCUUCGGAUCGUAAAACUCUGUUAUUAGGGAAGAACAUAUGUGUAAGUAACUGUGCACAUCUUGACGGUACCUAAUCAGAAAGCCACGGCUAACUACGUGCCAGCAGCCGCGGUAAUACGUAGGUGGCAAGCGUUAUCCGGAAUUAUUGGGCGUAAAGCGCGCGUAGGCGGUUUUUUAAGUCUGAUGUGAAAGCCCACGGCUCAACCGUGGAGGGUCAUUGGAAACUGGAAAACUUGAGUGCAGAAGAGGAAAGUGGAAUUCCAUGCGUAGCGGUGAAAUGCGCAGAGAUAUGGAGGAACACCAGUGGCGAAGGCGACUUUCUGGUCUGUAACUGACGCUGAUGUGCGAAAGCGUGGGGAUCAAACAGGAUUAGAUACCCUGGUAGUCCACGCCGUAAACGAUGAGUGCUAAGUGUUAGGGGGUUUCCGCCCCUUAGUGCUGCAGCUAACGCAUUAAGCACUCCGCCUGGGGAGUACGACCGCAAGGUUGAAACUCAAAGGAAUUGACGGGGACCCGCACAAGCGGUGGAGCAUGUGGUUUAAUUCGAAGCAACGCGAAGAACCUUACCAAAUCUUGACAUCCUUUGACAACUCUAGAGAUAGAGCCUUCCCCUUCGGGGGACAAAGUGACAGGUGGUGCAUGGUUGUCGUCAGCUCGCGUCGUGAGAUGUUGGGUUAAGUCCCGCAACGAGCGCAACUCUUAAGCUUAGUUGCCAUCAUUAAGUUGGGCACUCUAAGUUGACUGCCGGUGACAAACCGGAGGAAGGUGGGGAUGACGUCAAAUCAUCAUGCCCCUUAUGAUUUGGGCUACACACGUGCUACAAUGGACAAUACAAAGGGCAGCGAAACCGCGAGGUCAAGCAAAUCCCAUAAAGUUGUUCUCAGUUCGGAUUGUAGUCUGCAACUCGACUACAUGAAGCUGGAAUCGCUAGUAAUCGUAGAUCAGCAUGCUACGGUGAAUACGUUCCCGGGUCU